CUCCUCCCUGGCUCCCGGCGCCGCCCGCCCCCCAUCUCCUCCUGCGAUCCUGGCGUCGCCCCGCCCCACCUUCUCCCUCACUUCCGGCGCUACCUAUCGAUCCCCUCGACGACACAGAGCCGCCGUCCUCUCGUGCGAUCUCGCAGCCGCAUCCGCCAACGCCGAUCCGGGCAGACGCGGCCGUCGUGGAUCACGAGGAUCCGGAUGAUGGGGGCGUGGAGAUGGCCAUGGAUCUGUUACGGCGACGACGGCGCCGGAUCCGCACCCGCAACAUCCGGAUGGAGGCCGGCGACGAACCCUAGCCUAGCCGUCAGCAUCGGGAUCCAACCCCUUCUCUCGGUGUUGGGGCAAGGCGUAUGGGGGUGCUUGUUGCGGCGGUGGACCUCGACCCGGCGACAUCUGCAGCAUCUCCCUCCCGUCGGGCUGCAGGACCUGUACGCCCAAGAGAUGUGAUGUAUGCACCUCAUGGUACACAUAGGGUUUUGAUUUGCUUUCCUUGACUGCAGAAGAUGUUAUUAUGAUGAGCCAGGUCAUGGUCUGCUACUGCGUGCAUGACAACAUGAGGUGUCGCAAUCGGUGCGGUAUGCUGGUGAUAGAUGUUCUCGAUUGUGAUGCCCAAGCCUGUCUGCCGCAAUUGUGUGUUCGUUACUGCUGAGAUAAGCGUAUCCAGAUCUUUUGACCCUUCCACGAAAAGGUGUAACAUGAAAAAGGACUCACGGGUGGACAUCUGCUAUAAAUUACCUAGGCCUGGUCAUCUGCGUGAGUUGCAUCUGUCAUUUUUCUUCCCAGGUAGAACAUUAGUUUUAAUUAAAAACAAGGUAGAACAUU